UUGUCACUGAAUUUCCUCUGGAUCGGAAUGGGAGGUGGAAUACGGAGGCCAGUUAUGCCUCACCCACCCCACUCCCCUUGGGCAGGCACAGGACUCUCAGCACCCAGAAGAAUGGACAGAUUGCUGCACAAAUAUUUUGCAUCUCCACAACCAUUUUUGCCAUUUGAAAAUAGCCCAGGGUAAAGGAAGAUGGUUCUACUGGACUGUAGCCUUGCAGACCUAGCACGAGGUUGCCUAGUGCUCAGAACCUAUUUCCCAGCCAGCCUACUCGCUGCAAUAGAAUAUGAGAAAUGAAACUUCCAGCUCUCUAGCCUCUGAGGUUCAGGGAGGGACCCAAGUGUGGUUCUUCAUUGGGAGUGAUUUUGCCCUCUGUCCCUGCAGACCUUGGCAACAUCUGGAGACACUGUUGGUUGUCACUAUCUAGUGGUGACUGGCAAGUGAUUUUGCUAAACAGCCUAUAAUAUACAAGACGGUACCUGCAAUAAAGGAUUAUCUGGCCCCAAAUCUCAGCAGUGCUGAGGUUGAAUAACACAGCUAAGAAAGAGGGUGAAAUAGAGAAUGGCUAGACCAGUCCAUGCCAUCUAACCAUGGCAAAGGACCCACAUUAGUUAGACAAUUAAUACCAUGAUUAUAAGGUAUGUGCACCAUUCUUUGUUUUGCUUUGUUUUAGAGAGUCUGGCUGGAGCUGGAGUAGUUAAAAGAGAAAUUUUUAUGAAUGAUGAAGGACUGAGAUCCAUUCUGAAGGCGAGGGAUCGAGUAUGCUGAGACCAUAAGGAAGAUGGUAGGAGUAAGGAAGAGAAAAUGUGCAGUCCAGCCUCCUUGGUAUCAGUGUCCCCCACCCAGGGGUACAUUUGUUACAGAUGAUGAGCCUACAUUGAUCCAUUAUUAUCACCCCAAAUCCACAGUUAAACUAAGGUUCACUCAG
rnacentral:lncRNA from 1 species